UAUCAAACUUGGAAUCCUGUUUGUGUUCCAGCACCAAAAACAUUACAUUUUGCUUCGUGGACUUGUACUUCACUCUUCAUUCUCCUUCUGAUGCACAGAGAAACAAGGACUAACAGAUCCUUCUCUUUCCACCCGGAGUACGAAGAGUCCUACAACAAGGUCAUUCUGCAUGAGGAAAUGCUUCACAAGGCAAGUCUUAGGCAAGCAGCCACCAUCAACAUGGUCCUUACUUAUCCGGAGAUGCAGUGUCUCUUCGGUUUCCAUCAACAUCAGGAAAAACUUUCUAGAGAAAACUGUGUGACAGCCACCAACAGCAACACUGAGGUAAUACUUCUUAUUGUGCUUCAAGCGUUCACAUCAUAGGUUGAUGCCAGACCCCAUCCAUAGCCCCAGUUUAAUGAUGUCUUAAAAGCUAUUUUAGGUUGCCUUUAUCACCAUUCUCUAUUAGUAAGCAUAAUUAAGAAGUGAUUAUAUGGUGGCAGGUGUCUUUGGAAUGUGUUUUGCACUUGUAUUUUAAUGAGGGUGUGUCAUGUUGGAAAUUUAUAACUCAGAAAAAAAAGUUGCUUGACUGUGAGGUCUGACGUAAAAUACCUAAGCUGCUUGGUUCCGGUGUCAUGUGGACUUUUGUUCACCUUGUCUUUGUUCCCUGCCUCAUAUCAGGGAGGACCUUGGUCGAAAGAAUCAUCAGCCCAAGCAGAGAUGAUCUCUUCCAUCUUCACCUGGAUGGCUUCUUGUUCUCCUCCUCCCGUGUUUGUUGGGAGGAUAAUUGAAGUUUUCACUUUACACAGAGGUAAUUAAAACAUUUUCCUUCAGCAAGUAGACUGUAAAUAGCCUACUGAGGAGGCAAUUACCAGGGAGAUAGUAUCAUGAGGAUGUGGACAGAAAGCAUUUUUAUUGCUCCUGAUGACAUAAACAGUUAACAUUUGUGGUCUUUCAUCAAAAAUUUAUUCUGUACUUACAUAUUCUUUAUGUUUACUGAGUAGAGAAUUAUGCAACUAUAUUUAUUUUCUUCCAUACUUAAUUUCUCCUAAGUUAUCUAACCUUUCUCUACCCAGUACCUGUUUACACGACGCACUUCAUUAAAAUGUAAAUUUGGUGGAUAAUUUCUUGUACUUUUACAAAGCGAACUAAAUUAUUUACCUUCAUUUUGCUCCUCACAGUGUGUGGUGUAUAUCCUUUGAGUAUAGAAAGGAGGAUAAUCCUUUUAAUUUAUCUCUCGAGCUCCCACCAUUAUUUAUUUUGAAGAUAAGGGCAGCCAGACACCUCUGGAAUCUGUCUUGUGAUAAGUCGAAGGUGCUCCAGUGAAGGGGCCUCUUGUGACUUCAUGUUUUUCAUUGUUUUUUAAAGAUUUCUCAUGGGUGAAAGAAAAUGUAGCACUUGAUUAAAAUGCCUCACCUUCCACCUUCAACACUUAAAAGAUUCUUUUUAUUCAAACAGCACUCAAGUACUGUUCCUUUCAAGAGAGAAAAUGAGGGAAACACUUUUCAGAGUGACCAAGAACUUCAGGUCAUACACUAAGUAUUAAAUAAAAAGCUGAUUUUUGACAGUUUAAAAUUACUCAUCACUCAUUCAUUUUAAAAAUAUUUAUUGAAUGUCUUUUAUAUGCCCAAACUGUGCCAUUAGAAAAUUCUAAGUAUUUCUGUGAUUAUUUUUUAUAAUCCAUAAUGAUGGUCUUAGAUAGUCAGGACUCAACCCAAGGAGGAAGUCACAAUUUUUUUAGUUUCUGAAAAAUGUCUUGUCUGUUCCACCGACCAAUCUUGACUGCUGCCCAAGCUCUUGUUUUUGGGAACCUCAGGUCAGUGUGAGAGGCCGUCUGAGGGGAAGUCCAGGGUCCUAUGUGUGCUCGGGAGGCGAGUUCUGUGUCCUUCCUGCAAUGCCUGGUUAUCUCCGGGAGUGUGGGGGGUUAACUGAGUUUGUCAUGGUGGAUGUAAGUCUCACAGCGGGGCAGGGACCUUGUUUGUUUUGUUCACCUUGCACACCCAGUAGGAAUCACAUGAGCGUCUGUUGACAGGCAGCUAAGAUGUGUCCUCCCUCAGCCUCACUCACAACCAUGUGGAAGAUGAUUCUCCAUUCAAAGCUGGC
rnacentral:lncRNA from 1 species